rnacentral:rRNA from 1 species
UACGGAGGGUGCAAGCGUUGUUCGGAAUUACUGGGCGUAAAGCGCGUGUAGGCGGUCUUGAAAGUCCCGUGUGAAAUCCCCCGGCUUAACUGGGGAAGGGCGCGGGAAACUCCAAGGCUAGAAUACGGGAGGAGUCAGUGGAAUUCCUAGUGUAGCGGUGAAAUGCGUAGAUAUUAGGAGGAACACCAGCGGCGAAAGCGGCUGACUAGACCGAUAUUGACGCUCAGACGCGAAAGCGUGGGGAUCAAACAGG